CUGAAAAAUUUAACUCCAAUCGAAUGAAGGAGCAAAAUGAAAUGUGACGUGUGUCUGUGAACUUUAUAAUGGAUAUGUACAGCUUUUUGAUGCCCGGUGGUAACCAGCCUUCCAUGUGGCUGAACAGAUGCCAGUGUACCUGAAUUAUGAGACACAACUGGAUGUUCUUUUCUUCUGCUUUUAAGAUUCCCAAUUUGGAAUGAUGUGCAAUUCAUGUUAGAUUUGCUAUUUCUACAGACAGAAAGCCUCAGAGUGUGAAUCCUCACAAACACAGAGACUGAGGCACAUCAGUACCAACAGUCACUAAACAGGGAUGCUGUUCCAUGUUGCAAAAUAACAUUUAUUUUAUUAAGCCACUGUGCUUGUUUGUUGGAUUUUGAAAGAGCAGAAACUUAAUUUUAACCUUAAUCAAAACUAAGGCAGGAGAGAAAAACAAAGAUGUCUGCAUGUGAGUAAUGACACCUGAGCACAUCACAUUAGAAGUUCAGAUAUACAGAGGUUGCAACACAAUGUCUACUGUAU